AUGUCGCGCGUCAAGUUGGAGUUUACCAGCUGGAAUGUUCGCGGUUUGAACAGUCCGGCUAAGCGGAAGGCGUUGAGAGAAUUCGUAGAUUCUAGUAGGCCGACAAGACUUUGUAUCCAGGAGUCUAAACUCGAGUUUGCAGACCAGUUUAUUAUUUUGCAAUGUUGUGGCCCAUCCUAUGAUGGGUUUGCGUACUUGCCGGCUAUUGGGACUCGAGGUGGAAUCAUCCUGGCAUGGGACUCA
rnacentral:rRNA from 1 species